rnacentral:rRNA from 1 species
CUGGUUGAUCCUGCCAGUAGUCAUAUGCUUGUCUUAAAGACUAAGCCAUGCAUGUCUAAGUAUAAGUUAUAUACAGCGAAACUGCGAAUGGCUCAUUAAAACAGUUAUAGUUUAUUCGAUUAUUUUCUUCUACAUGGAUAACCGUAGUAAUUCUAGAGCUAAUACAUGCUGUCAAACCUGACUUUUCGGAAGGGUUGUAUUUAUUAGAUAUUAAACUAACCCUGGCAACAGGAUAGUGAUGAUUCAUAAUAACUGAGCGGAUCGCGGCCUCGCCGCGACGAAUCGUUCAAGUUUCUGCCCUAUCAGCUUUCGAUGGUAGUGUAUUGGACUACCAUGGCGAUCACGGGUAACGGGGAAUUAGGGUUCGAUUCCGGAGAGGGAGCCUGAGAAAUGGCUACCACAUCUAAGGAAGGCAGCAGGCGCGUAAAUUACCCAAUCCUAAUUCAGGGAGGUAGUGACAAGAAAUAACAACUCGGGCCCCACUUGGGGUUGCGAGAUUGCAAUGAGAACAAUUUAAACCACUUAUCGAGUAACAAUUGGAGGGCAAGUCUGG